ACCCGCUGAACUUAAGCAUAUCAAUAAGCGGAGGAAAAGAAACCAACAGGGAUUGCCCUAGUAACGGCGAGUGAAGCGGCAACAGCUCAAAUUUGAAAUCUGGCGUCUUUGGCGUCCGAGUUGUAAUUUGCAGAGGGCGCUUUGGCAUUGGCAGCGGUCCAAGUUCCUUGGAACAGGACGUCACAGAGGGUGAGAAUCCCGUACGUGGUCGCUAGCCUUUACCGUGUAAAGCCCCUUCGACGAGUCGAGUUGUUUGGGAAUGCAGCUCUAAAUGGGAGGUAAAUUUCUUCUAAAGCUAAAUACUGGCCAGAGACCGAUAGCGCACAAGUAGAGUGAUCGAAAGAUGAAAAGCACUUUGGAAAGAGAGUUAAAAAGCACGUGAAAUUGUUGAAAGGGAAGCGCUUGCAGCCAGACUUGCCUGUAGUUGCUCAUCCGGGUUUUUACCCGGUGCACUCUUCUAUAGGCAGGCCAGCAUCAGUUUGGGCGGUUGGAUAAAGGUCUCUGUCACGUACCUCCUCUCGGGGAGAACUUAUAGGGGAGACGUAAUGCAACCAGCCUGGACUGAGGUCCGCGCAUCUGCUAGGAUGCUGGCGUAAUGGCUGUAAGCGGCCCGUCUUGAAACACGGACCAAGGAGUCUAACAUCUAUGCGAGUGUUUGGGUGUCAAGCCCGAGCGCGUAAUGAAAGUGAACGGGGGUGGGAACCUUUCGGGGUGCACCAUCGACCGAUCCUGAUGUCUUCGGAUGGAUUUGAGUAAGAGCAUAGCUGUUGGGACCCGAAAGAUGGUGAACUAUGCUUGAAUAGGGUGAAGCCAGAGGAAACUCUGGUGGAGGCUCGCAGCGGUUCUGACGUGCAAAUCGAUCGUCAAAUUUGGGCAUAGGGGCGAAAGACU
rnacentral:rRNA from 1 species